GGUUGGAUGGCCGAGCGGUCUAAGGCGCCAGACUAAGGAUCCGCUUCCUCUUGGAGCUAAACUCAUCGCUACGUGUGGUGAUCUGGUCCGAAAGGGCGUGGGUUCGAAUCCCACUCCAAUCA